rnacentral:rRNA from 1 species
AGAGUUUGAUCCUGGCUCAGGACGAACGCUGGCGGCGCGCCUAACACAUGCAAGUCGAACGGAGCUUAGAGAGCUUGCUUUUUAAGCUUAGUGGCGAACGGGUGAGUAACGCGUGAGUAACCUGCCCUAGAGUGGGGGACAACAGUUGGAAACGACUGCUAAUACCGCAUAAGCCCACGGUGCCGCAUGACACUGAGGGAAAAGGAUUUAUUCGCUUUAGGAUGGACUCGCGUCCAAUUAGCUAGUUGGUGAGGUAACGGCCCACCAAGGCGACGAUUGGUAGCCGGACUGAGAGGUUGAACGGCCACAUUGGGACUGAGACACGGCCCAGACUCCUACGGGAGGCAGCAGUGGGGGAUAUUGCACAAUGGGGGAAACCCUGAUGCAGCGACGCCGCGUGGAGGAAGAAGGUUUUCGGAUUGUAAACUCCUGUCGUUAGGGACGAUAAUGACGGUACCUAACAAGAAAGCACCGGCUAACUACGUGCCAGCAGCCGCGGUAAAACGUAGGGUGCAAGCGUUGUCCGGAAUUACUGGGUGUAAAGGGAGCGCAGGCGGGAAGACAAGUUGGAAGUGAAAACCAUGGGCUCAACCCAUGAAUUGCUUUCAAAACUGUUUUUCUUGAGUAGUGCAGAGGUAGAUGGAAUUCCCGGUGUAGCGGUGGAAUGCGUAGAUAUCGGGAGGAACACCAGUGGCGAAGGCGGUCUACUGGGCACCAACUGACGCUGAGGCUCGAAAGCAUGGGUAGCAAACAGGAUUAGAUACCCUGGUAGUCCAUGCCGUAAACGAUGAUUACUAGAGUGUUGGGGGAUUGACCCCCUCAGUGCCGCAGUUAACACAAAUAAGUAAUCCACCUGGGGAGUACGACCGCAAGGUUGAAAACUCAAAGGAAUAGACGGGGGCCCGCACAAGCAGUGGAGUAUGUGGUUUAAUUAGAAGCAACGCGAAGAACCUUACCAGGUCUUGACAUCCGAUGCAUAGCACAGAGAUGUGUGAAAUCCUUCGGGACAUCGAGACAGGUGGUGCAUGGUUGUCGUCAGCUCGUGUCGUGAGAUGUUGGGUUAAGUCCCGCAACGAGCGCAACCCUUAUUGCCAGUUACUACGUUAAGAGGACUCUGGCGAGACUGCCGUUGACAAAACGGAGGAAGGUGGGGAUGACGUCAAAUCAUCAUGCCCUUUAUGACCUGGGCUACACACGUACUACAAUGGCGUUAAACAAAGAGAAGCAAGACCGCGAGGUGGAGCAAAACUCAAAAACAACGUCUCAGUUCAGAUUGCAGGCUGCAACUCGCCUGCAUGAAGUCGGAAUUGCUAGUAAUCGCGGAUCAGCAUGCCGCGGUGAAUACGUUCCCGGGCCUUGUACUCACCGCCCGUCA